rnacentral:rRNA from 1 species
AUGGGGAUGGGGCCCCUAGAUCUGGCGCCGGGCAGUGGGGGGAGACCGAGGCCACUCGGACCUCGCGCCGUCCUCCACUUCACCGCACUCAGUGAGGCCGCGUCCCCAUCCACAAGCGCGCUCUCGAAGCAGUGGUACGAGCUACGGUGCUCCUCGGGUGCCAUGAACCUGCGUGCGUCCCCGAGCCCAGGUUCGAGUUCAUGGCUCUCUCCCAGCAUCAGAGUCAUCUUUGCUAGUUCAUUGCAGCAACUCCAGCCGAGGAAGCAAAUGGCGGUUACUCUGAAGCUCGGGACCCUCGCCGUGGCGGCAGCCGCCGCCGUCAUGGUCGGCACGGUCUCCGCGGCCGAUGGACCAGCUCCUGCGCCUGCGUCUGGCGCGUCGGCUGCCGCCCCGGCUGUCGCCAUGGCGUCCCUGACCGCGCUCGUCUUCGGCUACUUCUUCUGA